CCUGAAAGAUGGUGAACUCGGCCUGGGUCAGGCAAAGCGAGAAGAAACUCUGGUGGGGUAGUAGUCCUGAUAUGCAAAUUGGUCAUCCCCCCUGGGUAUAGGAGGGAAAGACUAACCAAACCAUCUAGUAGCUGG
rnacentral:ncRNA from 1 species